GAGGGUAUAGCUCAGUGAUAGAGAGCACGUCCUCAGCAUGCAUGAGGUCCUGGGUUCAAUCCCCAGGACCUCCA
rnacentral:tRNA from 1 species